CAAGCUUCCCAAAAUCAAACUUCGCAUUCAAAAUUGUCUCUCCUGAACCCUAGCUUCUUUAUGCUGCAGAGGUCCCUGAAGCAUCCAGAAGAGAGGUAAGCGGUAGUGGUCUUCUGAUUUGAAAAGAUCACUCGGAUUCCAUGGUAGAUAAUGGAAUGGUUGGAGAAAGGACUGAAGUGGAUGCUGAUGCUGCAGUGAACCCCUCAAUAAUCAGCAUAACUGCAUGGUCUUGCUAUAUCGUCCAGGAUGACCUAAACUCCCAGCCUCAAGCAAUCCUCCUGCCACAGCCUCCCAAAGUGCUGUAAUUCAUGAAAUCACAGCAUGAGCCACCACGCCCAGUGCUAUUUGUUAUGUAAAAUGCUCAAAAUGGUUUUCUUAUUCUUAUUAUCUCAACAGGUAAUAUUCUUAUAUUCUUUUUUUGAUACAGUAUACACUAAAAUAUUGAAAGACACAUAAUGUCAAAGUUACCUGCUGUCCUGUGAGAAUACUUACCUAAUUUUUAGUCUUGUACAUCAAUGAUAAUAAGAGCUCACACUAAUACAACAUUUACUAUCUCACUGACAUAUCUUAAUAAAUAUAAACUCGUUUCUUUUUCCAAAGAAAAUAAAGACAUAACUAUUAUCAGUAUCCUACAUUCUGUGUACCUCCAUAAAACCUGUUGUGAUAAAGAAUUAGAUAUGCUGUAUCUGAAGAAGAGGAGGUUAAAGAACAGUGUUUUACAUAAAUGACUCAGUCCUUAUCCUACAGAAAUUGCAUUUUUAAUUGAAUCUGCCAUUAAUUUUCUAAUGAAUAAGAUGAUAUUUUAUAUGCAUAUAUGUAUUGAAUGUACCUCCUGGAAAAUGAAAGGUUUACUUCCUUGAGGAAACCAGUUACUGUUGAGAUUAUGCAGUUUGUCCAAAAUUGCCUUUAUGUCUCCAGGCCACAUGUGCUUGGAAGCAUCAAGUCUGAACCCUGCAACUCCCAUGUCAAUGAGCUUGUUCAUAUAUUCGGCAAUCUCGGAACGCACAUAAUCCUUCUCCAGCGCAAGAUCAAGAAGACCACUCAGACGACAAUCUCUGACCUGUUGAGCUUUUGUAUACUACAGAGGGUCCUGAAGCAUCCAGAAGAGAGGUAAACAGAAUUUUUUGACAUGUUUAGGGUCAUAGGCUUACCCUGUCUCAGUUAAGACUUUGGACUGUGAACUUUUGAGUUAACGCUGAAAUGAGUGAAGACUUUAGAGGACUGCUGGGAAGUCACGAUUGAUUUUGAAAUGAGGUUCCCCACACAAGUUCUCUUCUCUUGUCUGCCAACAUGUGAGAUGUACGUUUCACCUCUGUCAUGAUUAUGAAGCCUCCCCAGCCACAUGGAACUGCAAAACUCCAGGAUCUGAUCCAGCAAAAAUUUCUACAUCAGCUUUGUCGGAUCUCAGUUCAGCUACAGCCUCUGGAGCAAGUGGGAUGCCUGCCUGUCCAUUCAUGGUUGCCUAAGCCACAGGAAAGAAGAAACACUUUUUCUCUUCCCUCCUGGUUCAGUGUCUGGGACCCUACAAAUUAAACUGACCACAGAAAGGGUAACAAGAAAAAAAAAUUAAUGAUGUACAUACACAUGGAAAUUCACAAAGAAAUGUGAUGCAAAGAGGCAAUUAGAAUUUGGGGUGUGUAUCUUAGACUAGCCAAAGAAAACAAGUUUAGGGCUGCUUGGUGCAGGAGGUAAGUUAUGGGAAAGCAGGGGGAGGAACUGUAUUCUAAAUAAGGAUUGUUUAAUAAGGUUUCUUAUGCAGAUAAGUCAUCAGCUAUUAAGAGUUGUCUAUGGAGUAGUUUUCUCACAAGUAUGCUAGAGGGAGGCACCUUUACAUACUGAAAUUUAAUUAUUGCUUUUAGAAAGGGGAAAGUCAGAGAGCUAAUUGCUUUCUGCCCAAAAAGUUAUUAUACCAAAGUGACAUCUUUUGGAGGGGCAUAUUUUGGUCCACUUCAGGAUAUUUUACUGGAUGCAAUUCUAUAUUUUAAUGUAUUAUAGUGAUAUUCAUCAUAAGAUAGGAGAACACUUUAUUUCUUCUACAAAGAUAGCAGUAUCACAAAAUCAUUAGUUCCUGCUAGAAUGUGGGGCUUUAUUUAAAUUUAUAGCAUGCUUCAGUUGUCAUUUGACUGACAGCUAACUCGAGAGAUAAUUCUACUUUUCCCUACCCAUGGUAUAAAAAUAGUAAGCAGGAAGCAGGUUGUCAUACAAAUCAGUAAUUUUGACAUAUGCCAGUUGAAGCCUGGAGUGAACUUUGACAAAUACAGGUUCAUGGAAAUCUAAAGCCAUUCAAACGUUGGUAGUCCUAUGUGCUAGUGAGUGAACUAUGAUGGAAUUUAGUUUCAUUUAAAUUACAAACCUGGAGGCUGGGGGAGUAGGGAAGCAAACUAUAAACGUAGUAUACACUAAAACUGAAUAAAUUAAUUCUGUAGUAAUAUUAAUAAAGGGACUGAUAAUUACUUCAUAGAAUUUCCCAGUGAUAACAUAUAAUUACCUUGCAUAAGUAGAGAUAUGUUUAUAUUCAGAGAUGACGUUGCUGGUAUUAAUAUAUCAAAUCUAAUAGGAAAGUCUUGAUAGAAAAUGGAUUCUUCUGUUAUUGGAUACAUUCUACCCUGUCAUUCUAUUUUUCACUAGUAUUCCAUAAAUGUGCUUCUCUAGCCUCACCGAUUAACUGAUCUAUUCCCUGUCACUCGUUUCAUUAAUUCCUUUGGGCUUUUGUCAUGCUUUUUCUUCUUUGGGAAUCAAUUUCUCUCCGUUCUCUUCCUUACAAAUCUCCCUCAUCCAUCUCAAGACCUUCCUUUAUCAUUAAGCUUUCCCAGGUCAUUUCAGCAUGUGUACUAUCCCCUUCCAUUGAAACCAAACAACCUAUUUCCUUACUUUAUUAUGCAUCAUUUUAACUAUUCCUCUGCAUUCUUAUUAACACAUCAUAUAGUUAUAUUUUGCAUUGCCAACUAUCCUCUGAACUUCAACAUGGGUUACAUGUUUCUAAGCACCUAAAAGAGUGCUGCAAAAAAUACAUAUACGUUUCAUUGGUUUGAUGGGGGUCUUCACUGCAAUGUACAGAUUUAUUUAAUUUUGCUUGAGGUCAUAGAGCACACAUAAGAUAUCUGAUCAUAAUACCUAAGCAUAACAAACCUGAUGCUAAAGUUUAAGAAUUAGACUUUCCUAUAAAUUUUAUGACCUAGAACUAAAUUAGAAACAACAUUAAAGUUAAGACAGCAUUUUGUGUCAUCCAGCUUUCAGCUAACAGCACACACAGACUGAAUAUGGCAAGACUUCAAACAAGAAUAUAUUAUUUUCUGCUCCAAUUCCAAUGCUUUGUGAUUUUUUUUCUUUGAGUUAGAUUUUAGGAGAGUAUCAGUACUGUGCUGGCCCAAAGUACUGAGAAUAACAGUUACAUGUUUUUUUUGUUUGUUUGUUUGCUUUUUUUUUUUUUUUUUGAGAUGGAGUC